rnacentral:piRNA from 1 species
UGGAGACCAGAAGUCUAAAAUCAAGGUUAC